CACCGUAGCCUCCUCUUCCCUUGUUGUCAGUAUGGCUUACCCGGACCCGCAGCCCAGGUUCGGACAGUCUGUGAAGGGAUUGCUGUCCGAGAAAGUGAGCGCCUGCAGCGGCGAUGUGAUUGCGCUCACUCGACAAGUGCUGAAAGGCUCCCGCAGCCAAGAGUUUCUUGGACAGGCAGCCCGGAAUAUGGUUAUGCAAGAGGAUGCUAUACUACACUCUGAAGAUAGUCUAAGAAAAAUGGCAAUUAUAACAACCCAUUUACAGUACCAACAAGAAGCCAUUCAGAAAAAGUAGGUCUAAACAUCCGUCUUGUAUACGAACCCUCAUGCAUAUUUUUGGUUUGGAAAAAUGUCAAACGUUGGACACUCAAAAAACCUUCAGGAUCAGUUGAAGCACUUGCUGAAGUAAGCUUCGUUGUGCUGUGGAGAGGCACAGCCCAAGAAGAACAUGCUGAUUGUGGGGAAUCGCAGAUGAGCAGUUUUCUCUUCCUUUUCACAUUCUUCCACAGUGCCUUCAUCAGUGACAUUGUUAGAAUGUGCUCGCUCCUGUACAGGUGUGUCAUUUUGAUUGGAGCUGGACUGAUUAUUGGCUGUCUGGUGCAUGGACAGGUAACUUGUUAUGCAGUCAUUGCCAGUUAACAAACAUAUUGUUUUAAGCUGUUUGAAUGAAAUGUUUCACUCACUUAAUAAAAUCAUUAUAAAAUGA